GAUGAACGCUGGCGGCGUGCCUAAUACAUGCAAGUCGAGCGAACGGACGAGAAGCUUGCUUCUCUGAUGUUAGCGGCGGACGGGUGAGUAACACGUGGAUAACCUGCCUAUAAGACUGGGAUAACUUCGGGAAACCGGAGCUAAUACCGGAUAAUAUUUUGAACCGCAUGGUUCAAAAGUGAAAGACGGUCUUGCUGUCACUUAUAGAUGGAUCCGCGCUGCAUUAGCUAGUUGGUAAGGUAACGGCUUACCAAGGCAACGAUGCAUAGCCGACCUGAGAGGGUGAUCGGCCACACUGGAACUGAGACACGGUCCAGACUCCUACGGGAGGCAGCAGUAGGGAAUCUUCCGCAAUGGGCGAAAGCCUGACGGAGCAACGCCGCGUGAGUGAUGAAGGUCUUCGGAUCGUAAAACUCUGUUAUUAGGGAAGAACAUAUGUGUAAGUAACUGUGCACAUCUUGACGGUACCUAAGCAGAAACCACGGCUAACUACGUG
rnacentral:rRNA from 1 species